AUGCAAGCUCGUAGAGCUCCUCAUGGAGGGAGGUUGCCUCCGGCCGCCGGAUCCUUACCGGAUUUCAUCCUAGUCUUUAGGCUGGGAUGCUAUUGCGGCUCAAUAAAGCCAGAGGGCGAGGGGCUUCAUCGGCUCUGGUUUUCAUGCUCUGCGUCGGUGGUUUUUCUCCAGCAGUUUCGACGGCGGAAGACACUGGCGCUGAGCAUCUUCGGCUUGUACGAAGAAGACGAUGGACCAACUUGUAUUUAA
rnacentral:rRNA from 1 species